rnacentral:rRNA from 1 species
CUACGGGAGGCAGCAGAGGGGAAUUUUGGACAUAUGGGCGAAAGCCUGAUCCAGCCAUUCCGCGUGCAGGAUGAAGGCCCUCGGGUUGUAAACUGCUUUUGUACAGAACGAAAAGGUUUCUACUAAUACUAGGAGCUCAUGACGGUACUGUAAGAAUAAGCACUCGGCUAACUACGUGCCAGCAGCCGCGGUAAUAGCAGUACCAGCAGCCGCGGUA